rnacentral:rRNA from 1 species
CCUUGCCAGCCCGCUCAGAAACUCAAGGAAUUGACGGGGCCCGCACAAGCGGUGGAGUAUGUGGUUUAAUUCGAUGCAACGCGAAGAACCUUACCUGGUCUUGACAUCCCGGAGACCCUUAGGAAACUAGGGGGUGCUUCCAUCUGGAAGAAUCUGGAGACAGGUGCUGCAUGGCUGUCGUCAGCUCGUGUCGUGAGAUGUUGGGUUAAGUCCCGCAACGAGCGCAACCCUUGCCUUUAGUUGCCAGCAGUUCGGCUGGGCACUCUAAAGGGACUGCCGGUGUUAAACCGGAGGAAGGUGGGGAUGACGUCAAGUCCUCAUGGCCUUUAUGACCAGGGCUACACACGUACUACAAUGGCCGAUACAAAGGGCAGCGACACUGCGAGGUGAAGCCAAUCCCGUAAAAUCGGUCUCAGUCCGGAUUGGAGUCUGCAACUCGACUCCAUGAAGUUGGAAUCGCUAGUAAUCGUGGAUCAGCAUGCCACGGUGAAUACGUUCCCGGGCCUU